GACGAACGCUGGCGGCGUGCUUAACACAUGCAAGUCGAACGGAAAGGCCCUGCUUUUGUGGGGUGCUCGAGUGGCGAACGGGUGAGUAACACGUGAGUAACCUGCCCUUGACUUUGGGAUAACUUCAGGAAACUGGGGCUAAUACCGGAUAGGAGCUCCUGCUGCAUGGUGGGGGUUGGAAAGUUUCGGCGGUUGGGGAUGGACUCGCGGCUUAUCAGCUUGUUGGUGGGGUAGUGUCUUACCAAGGCUUUGACGGGUAGCCGGCCUGAGAGGGUGACCGGCCACAUUGGGACGGAGCUGCGGCCCAGACUCCUACGGGAGGGAGCAGUGGGGAAUAGUGCACUAUGGGCGGAAGCCUGAUGCAGCAACGCCGCGUGCGGGAUGACGGCCUUCGGGUUGUAAACCGCUUUCGCCUGUGACGAAGCGUGAGUGACGGUAAUGGGUAAAGAAGCACCGGCUAACUACGUG
rnacentral:rRNA from 1 species